CUUCCUCAAGCUGAUCAGAGCCCUGACAGCUUCCAGCUGCUGAGCCUACAGGCAACAAGGCGAACACCAAACCGGUGAGAGUCACUGGCAGAGCCCAGCAUGGGGAGGACCAGGCACGGUAACUAAGAGCUCCUACCAACCAUGGUGCAGCACCCCACACGUGUAGCCACCCCACAGGACAAGUGCUUCACCUGAGCUUCCUUAGCACCCGCAUUCAUUUCUGCACCCUAAGAACUCUGGCUAAAAGCAAAACAAGGACAGAACGUUUGAUGCCCCGUUCAUUCAGGGGCCCUCUUUGGACUCCUACUUGUCCUUCCCCCCUCGAUACAGUAAAACUAAGCUAUA